AUGGUGGUGUGUAGUAUCAUUCCUGCCUGCUUCAGUGUGAGGCGUAUUGAUGAUUUGUUGUGGUGUUUUAUGCAUAUAUAUGUAUUCCGAUGAGAUAUGUGUGAUAGGUAGAUGAAUGAUAUAUUGCUUUUUGACUUGUUAUAUGAUCUGGGUAUGAUGUAUAGCAGCUGUUCUGACAUGUGUGUUAGGUGGGAGUGUCUGUGAAGUAUAUCAUCUCUCUCCCUUUUCUUCUUGAAUUGUCUCUCCUUUUAUAUUGCCUCUGACUAACCUCUUGGGUUGCCAAUUGAUAACCCUCUG